GCGUGCUUCCAUCUAUUCGCGUGUAGUAGGAAAAACGGACCGAGGUAGAACGCGAGGUGAAACGAGAGAUAGGCGGCGUGAUCAACGAGGAAAAGUGUCUUAUAUCGGCGGAAGGUGCAGCACACGUUGGAGACUGAACGAGUUAAGAGCUCGGGGAGAAACUCGGUACCGAGGGAAGGAACAGGGAUGAAUAAUUUAAACGAACGAAUGGGAACAGUCUGACAUAUCGAUUAAAAGAAGGGAGAGAAGAAUAGAGAAGGUUUUAGAGAACGAAGAGUGGCUCGUCGAUGGAAUCACGAUAGCUAACGCGAGAUUAAAGAUACCACUUAUAUAUGUGUAUAUGGAAAUAUAUGAAUAUAUGAUAAUUAAUUAU